AACAACAACUGGGAAGCCUUCUCAGCUACACUUCGGGGCACUGGUCCAACCCCACGCAAAAUCCCUCGUUUCCCUUAGCGUGCAGAACCACGGGCACGGUGAUGAUGGUGACAAGCGCAGCAGCACCCAGCAGUCCCAGAAGAACCUUCCACGGUGUCUGCAAGCCGAGCAGAUCAAGUCCAAUUAGAGGGAAGCGUGUGGCCCCAGUUUCCGUAGGAGGGUCGGGGCUGCUCCAGAGGCAGCAGGAUUUGCAGGAAGGAAGACUGUACACAGAGAAUAAAUAACUUGGCCAAGCCAUUCAGCUAGGAAGUUGUAGAUCCUAAAUUAAGAGUUCAAGGUCUUAAUGGCUACUCUAUGCGGCCUCUCAUAGUCUUUUCAAGGGUUUUGGAGAAGAAUAAAAGAUCAGGUAUGGCUUCUCCCUCCCCCAGCUCUCUAUUGUUCCCUAAAGGAUUAUUCAUUCGUUCAUUCAUUCCUACAUCCUCCCAUUUAUUCCAGUCAUCCACAGAUGUUUGAGUGGUUACAAUGUGCCAGCCUCCCUUCUAGGUACUGGAGAUAAAGUGGGACAAGAGAGGUGAGGUCUGGACCCUUGGCACUUUCACGAUAAAAUACACAGGUAAACAUUUGCCUUUAGGGCCCCCUG
rnacentral:lncRNA from 10 species